AAAUACAUCUCUUAUGAGGAUUAUGACUUGGAACAUGUACUUUGGAACAUAGUUGCCAUGUUUUGACAUAGAGAGCAAGAGUGUCAUAAAGGGGCACUUGAAACUAGUAAACUAUGAAACUGCAAUAUAGAGACAUAUUGAUAGGCCACUACAUAUCUGCUAUAUUCCAUGUUAGAGACAUGAUGACAUAGGGAUAGGCCAUUGAGAUACUUGACACAUUCCAUGUUAUUAGACAUGAGGACUUGGUACUUGCGACGGAUCGUUUGACUACUUGCCAUUGUGCUCAUUCGCACAUGCUUGUGAGGGUCGCUCCCUACAAGCCGGCACUCCGGAGAUGGCCAUCGCGAUUCAUACUCGCCGUGCGGGAUUGGGCGCCGAAGUGGAUUGCCGUGGGCCAGGCUCAUUCCUAGGGUGGGGAUGAUGACUACCACGGGGCCAUUAGGCUCGGCACCGGCCAGACAGCCUACGGGUGGGUCUCAGGGCCAUAGACAGCCUUCGGGUGGGUCUCUCAGAUUGGGCUAUAUAUAUAUCCAUUAUGACAUGUGGACAGAUGAUGACUUAGUGUACUACUUGGACAUUGAUUAGAAUAGUAAACAACGGAACUUCACUAUUUCACAUUGUGAACAUCAUGAUAGUUGGAGACAUUUACUUUAUGCAUAGUUGCUUUCAUACUUAUGCUAUUCAUGCUAAGUAGAGAUAUCAUGUCGUAGUAGGUUACAUAUUUACUUACCUGUCGCCUUUCUACUUCUAUAGUCACUGACAUCUUUUGUAGCUUUGGGCCUUGUGGUGCAUGCACUGAAGUCAGUAAUUGCCCACUGGGAACUAUUUUUAAUAGUUCUCAUGCCCUCGUUUUAUGGUUUACUUUUCAGAGCCUUCGGCACCGGCGGAGGCACGGGAUCGCGGCAAGGGUGUCGCGUAGCUAGCUCGCGGAGAGUUCUUUUGCGAUAGGUGGUUACUCCUCUAUUUCAUAUUUUGUGAGAGAGGGAGUGAUUUUGUACCUUGUAUAGAGAGACCACCUUGUACUCCUUUUAGCACUUGUUAUGGGAUUCCUGUUGUAUUUACCUUAUGUUUUAUUUAGUGGAUUUACAGUUUUAACUUUAUCCCUUGUUGUAGCUUUUAGACAUUUAUAUUGCUCUGAUACUCCUAGAUGUCUUGUAUUAUUGCUUUUAUCAUUGUUGUUUUUAGACGCCUUAUAUGUUGUAGACAUAUGGCGGGUCUGGGCACGUGCCGGGCGGGCUUCCGCUGAGUCCCGGGGCGUGACAGAUUAAUUUGGUAUCAGAGCCUAGGGUUGAGUCUUAGGGGACCUAGCAAACCUUAGGCCGGUUGGACUAUAGGAAAUAGGCUCGUGAGAGACGAGGUCUAUUCGACUUGUAAGCGAAAGUAUCUAGAUUGGGUAUCUUGAAUAACUCUAAAAAGUGGAGUUAAACUGAAGUGUAUGACUCCUAACUUCGCGGAGGGUUACGUUGGCGGCCGACAACGUAACAUCGAGAGUUAGUAGUGAAGAACACUUCUUUACUUUCGCAUGAUUGGGGUUUGUCUUUUGAGUGGGGAUACGAUAGCGUGAGUAUUUCUAACUUGCGCUUUUAUGUUUUGUAGUGACGAUGCCGAUUACUCGCUCCCAAUCUGCCGGGGCGGACAAUGCGGCAAACUUCGAGGAGGUCGAAACCUCCGCUACCUCCGGAUCCAGCGAGGUCCGUGAGUUGAGGGGCCAGCUUGCGGCCCUCACUGACUUGGUCACUCAGCAGGCGGAGGCGGCCCGACAGCAGACUGAGGCGCCGCGCCGACAGGAGGCGCGGAUGAAGCGUCUGGAGGACUUACUGUUGCAGCAGACGGCAGCUUCUAGGGAGACUCAGGGCCCUACACCGCCAGCGCCAGUUGUGGAUGUUGCACCGAGAGCGCCGUCCCCCGCGCCCAGUUCUUCGCGUGCGGCGCCUGCGGCCGUUCCCCAGGAGGAGGUUUUGGUAGCACCGCCUGUACAGAGGCCCCCGGUUGGAGCAGCUUUCCCUACAUUGGUUGAGGGGGCGGAGCGGGAUAGAUUGAUGGAGCGCCUCAAUGAGUUCAGGAGGUGCAGUCCCCGAGUCUUCGAUGGCGAGAAAGUCGACCACUGGAUCGUGGAGAAGUGGUUGAUGCACAUGGAGAAGCUCUUCCGCGACACCUUCGUGGAGGAGAGGGACAGAGUUUGGCUCGCCACUCACCACUUGGACGGCGAAGCCUACCGCUGGUGGUUGGAUUUUCAGGAGCACCCCAGCACUGACUUGGCGGCUAUCACUUGGACGAGGUUCAAGGAGCUUCUUCUGGCGCACUACUUCCCGACCAGCGUCAAGAGGAAGAUGGAACAGGAUUUGCGCAGCUUGCGCCAGGGUGACAGGACCGUAGCUGAGUAUGAGAGGGAGUUUUCUCGGCUUCUGCAUUGCGUGCCCUUCGUCGUGCGGGACGACGAGGACAAGGCCCGCAUCUUCGAGCGAGGGUUGCGACCGUCGAUCUUCCGGUUUGUGCAAUCCUCUAACCUCCAAACCUACCGGGAGGUGGUGGAUCGCGCGCUCAUCGUGGAGAGCGACGCGACAGAGGUCCAGGAGCAGCGUGAGGCUAGGGACAGAGGGAAGGCCAAGAGGCCUGCGGCUGAGGGUGCGAGCCAGACGCACUCUAGGAGGUCGCCGAAGCAUCCGAGGGGCCAGCAGCGUGGGCGCGGCACCAUAGCGUAUCGAGGAGGAUCCGAUCGACGCCGGCCUUCCCCGUGUGUGAUCUGCGGUGGUCCCCAUUACCCACCGCAGUGUCCACAGCGGGCGGGCAGGUGUUUCCAAUGUGGCCAGGAGGGCCACGUGCGUACCGAGUGCCCGAGAGGUUCUUCACCGGCACCAUCGACUGCAUCGGCACCGGCUCUACCAGCCGCUAGCCAGGGGACUCCGUCGGCACAGUACCAGCCUGGGCGGCCACCCGUCCAGCGCCAGAGCGAGGGAUCUCGACAGGCCCCGAGUGGGCGUAUGUAUGCCGCUCAGACUGAGGAGGCGGUAGCAGCCGAGGAUGUGGUUGCAGGUAUCAUUUUACUUGAGGGCAUUAGAGUUCGUGCUUUAUUUGAUACUGGUGCAUCGCAUUCAUUUAUAGAUCGGCUGUUUGCCGAGUUGCAUGGCAUCCCGUUGGUUUCCUUGUUGCAUACGGGACAUGUAGUUGUACCUGACCACAUUUUGGAUAUUAGAGAGUAUAGCCCCAGUUGCCCUAUUCGGGUAGGAGAUUGGAUCAUGCCUAUAGAUCUGCUAGCUUUGCGCAAGCUGGGGGAUUUUGAUGUGGUCUUGGGCAUGGAUUGGUUGACCAAGUAUUAUGCCACGAUUGAUUGCAAGAAUCGCACGGUUACUUUUAGAGAACCGGGGCAGGCUGAGGUGGUAUUUAGUGGAUGCCGGAGUUCGCUGUUUGCGAUGACGAUCAGCUCGUCUCGAGCUAGGCAGCUGAUCAGCAGAGGUUGCGUAGCCUAUUUGGCUAGUGUGGUGCUGAGGGGCGAGGGUGACACCCUUAGGAUCGAGGAUAUUCCGGUGGUGCGGGAGUUCCAGGAUGUGUUUCCAGCUGAGCUACCGGGUAUGCCUCCUGAUAGGGAGAUUGAGUUUGUGGUAGAUCUCGUCCCUGGGACUACCCCAAUCUCAAAGGCACCCUAUAGGAUGGCACCGGCAGAGCUGAGGGAGCUGAGGGCACAGCUGCAGGAUUUGUUGGACAAAGGCUUCAUUCGCCCGAGUGUUGCACCUUGGGGAGCACCCGUUUUGUUCGUCAAGAAGAAGGACGGAUCACUUCGCCUUUGCGUGGAUUAUCGUGAGCUCAACAAAGUCACGAUCAAGAACAAGUAUCCGUUGCCGAGGAUCGACGACUUGUUUGAUCAGCUUCAGGGAUCAUGUGUGUAUUCCAAGAUCGACUUGCAGUCGGGGUACCACCAGCUGAAGAUUAAGCCCGAGGAUGUGUCGAAGACGGCUUUUAGAACACGGUAUGGACAUUAUGAGUUCACAGUUAUGCCGUUUGGGCUUACUAAUGCCCCGGCAGCUUUUAUGGAUCUGAUGAACCGUGUUUUCAAGCCUUAUCUAGACAGGUUCGUCGUGGUGUUCAUCGACGACAUUUUGGUCUACUCUCGGGGUGAUGCGGAUCACGAGGAACAUUUGAGGAUUGUACUCCAAGUACUUCGGGAGAAGGAGCUUUAUGCCAAGUUGAAGAAAUGUGAAUUUUGGCUUCGAGAGGUGGCCUUCCUUGGACACUUGAUUUCAGGAUCAGGUAUAGCAGUGGAUCCCAAAAAGAUUGAAGCAAUCAAGGAUUGGCCGAGACCGACGAGCGUCACGGAGAUACGGAGUUUUCUUGGAUUGGCCGGUUACUACCGAAGAUUUGUCGAAGGAUUUGCUAGGCUAUCUACUCCCCUCACGAGGCUCACGCAUAAAGGUGUUAAGUUCAUUUGGAAUGAUGCGUGCGAGAGAAGCUUCCAAGAGUUGAAGCAACGAUUGACUACCGCCCCGAUCUUGACCCUACCAGUAGCUGGAGCCGGGUAUGUGGUUUAUAGUGAUGCUUCACUUAAUGGUUUGGGCUGUGUAUUGAUGCAGGAUGGCAAGGUGAUCGCGUAUGCUUCUCGCCAACUAAAGGAAUAUGAGAAGAACUACCCGACGCAUGAUUUGGAGUUGGCGGCUGUAGUGUUCGCCUUGAAGCUAUGGCGCCACUAUCUUUAUGGCGAGCGAUGUGAAGUAUACACGGAUCACAAGAGCUUAAAGUACCUAUUUACUCAGAAGGAGUUGAACUUGAGGCAGCGCAGAUGGUUGGAGCUACUUAAGGAUUAUGAUCUGACGAUUCUUUACCAUCCGGGCAAGGCUAACGUGGUGGCGGAUGCGCUAAGUAGGAAAUCGAUGGAAAACUUAGCGAUGCACGUCGUGACGCAACCGCAGUUGAUCGAGCAGAUGAAGCGGUUGGAGUUGGAGAUAGUGACUCCUGACACACCCUUGAGAUUGAUGGCGUUGGUAGUGCAACCUACUCUUUUGGAUAGAAUUAAAGAAAAGCAAGCUUCCGAUGUGGAGUUGCAAAAGAUUAGAGGAAAAAUGGUUGAUGGUUGCACCGGCGAUUUCCUUGUGGACGACCGAGGGUUGAUGCGCUUUCGAGGACGACUAUGUGUUCCGGCGGAUUCGGGAAUUAAAGAAGAUAUUCUUCAGGAAGCGCACCGGGCGCCCUAUGCUAUACAUCCGGGAGGCACCAAAAUGUAUAAGGACUUAAAGUUGCUCUAUUGGUGGCCUGGGAUGAAAAAGGAUGUUGGCGAGUUUGUUGCUAGAUGCUUAACUUGCCAACAAGUGAAGGCAGAGCACCAAGUUCCCGCGGGGAAGCUUCAGAGUUUGCCUAUUCCAGUGUGGAAGUGGGAGAAGAUCACUAUGGACUUUGUGACAGGAUUGCCACGCUCACAGGCGGGGCAUGACGCUAUUUGGGGGAUCGUGGAUAGGUUGACGAAGUCGGCGCACUUCAUACCUAUUCAUACGACCUGGACCGGAGAGAGGCUCGCACAAGUGUACCUAGAUGAGAUUGUGCGACUUCAUGGAGUGCCUACAUCGAUUGUAUCUGAUCGCGACACGCGCUUCGUGUCUCACUUUUGGAGGAGUCUACAGGACGCCUUAGGCACCCGGCUGGAUUUCAGUACAGCAUUCCACCCGCAGAGUGAUGGACAGUCGGAGCGCACUAUUCAGACCUUAGAGGAUAUGCUUCGGGCAUGUGUGAUAGACUUCCAGGGGGGAUGGUCGCAGCAUCUACCUAUGGCGGAGUUUGCUUAUAACAACAGUUAUCAAGCAAGCAUCAAGAUGGCGCCCUUCGAAGCACUUUAUGGACGGAAGUGUAGAUCACCACUUCAUUGGAGUGAAGUUGGCGAGAGUUUGGCUCUAGGCCCUGAUGUGCUCCAGGAAGCUGAGGACAAGGUUCGAAUUGCUCGGGAGCGACUUUUGGCGGCGCAGAGUAGACAGAGGAGCUACGCCGAUCGACGACGGCGAGAUUUGGAGUUCCAAGUUGGAGACCAUGUUUUCUUGAAGGUCUCGCCGACUAGAGGAAUCAAGAGAUUCGGGAUUCGGGAAAAGUUGAGCCCCCGUUUUAUUGGACCGUAUGAGAUCUUGGAGCGUGUAGGUCCGGUAGCGUAUCGACUUGCUCUACCACCGAACCUAUCGGGCGUACACAACGUCUUUCAUGUAUCGGUCCUUCGGAGGUACAUUCAUGAUCCAGCUCAUAUUUUGGAAGCUGUACCAGUGGAGCUGCGUGAGGAUUUGAGCUUCGAGGAGCAACCAGUGAAGAUUUUGGCUCGCGAGGUGAAGAAGCUACGGAAUCGGGAUAUUCCGUAUGUGAAGGUCCUUUGGAGCAACCACGCGGAGCGCGAGGCCACGUGGGAGCUAGAGAGUGCGCUACAGGAGCGCUAUCCCCAUCUUUUUUCAGAUGGAGCCUUGAGGUAUGCUUUUGCUUUGAGUUUCGCGGACGAAACUCCGUUUAGGAGGGGUGAAUGUAAUACACUGGAUCUUAGCAAAUUGCAAGAUUCGAGUGUUUGAUCUCUGUGUGGAGCCUUUCCACAGUGCUUGGAGGGUCGUUGAUAGUGUUCCGACCCCUGGCACGCGUCCCGAGGGUGUUGGUUUGAGACUUGGCGCCAAAAUCCCAAAAUUGGAAUUUUUGGUCAGCCCUCGGAUGGCCUGCAGCAGGGCUUGUACCGGAACAGACUGGUCUUGUACCGGUACAAGGGUUGAUGGUUGUACCGGUACAGCCAUCGGGCUUGUACCGGUACAGAGCCGCAGACCGCGCGACCCGAGCCUCGGGUUUGCAAUUUCGUCGGCCUUGUACCGGUACAAGAGCCCGUGUACCGGUACAAGGAGGCAGUUUUCGUACAGUUUGGUCUGCAGGGGAUUUUUCGCGAUUGUGGGCUUCUUAUAACAGCACCCACGCCCCUUAGGGCUUUUUUUGUGCUGGAACUAGAGGAGGAGAAGGUGAGAGGAGCUCCACCUUGCUCCACUUGGAUUUGAUCUCCAUUUUUGAUGGUUUUGGUGGAUUAAUCCUUUUCCUUUUCUCCUUUUUAUGCUUCUCCACCAUUGUUGAUGGCUUAGAGCUUGGAGAGGAGCUUGUGGCUGAGGAGAUCUCCCACCCCACUUGGAUUGGAGCUAAGUUUGGAGCUUCUUGUCAGGUUAGAGACUUGAUUUCUCCCUUUGAUCCUUAAUUUAUUGGAUUUCUUGAGAUGAAACCCUAGAUUGUGAUAUUAGGGUUUAUUUUGGGUAUUUUGAAUCUAGGGCUUUUGAAGCUAGAUUGUGUGGAUUAGAGGCUUCCAUUAGGUUGGAUUGGAUGAGCCCUAGCUUCAUUUUGGAGCUUUAGAGGAGAUUUUGUACUAGAGGUGAGUUUUCCACACCUAUGCUUGAUUAGCUUAAUGUUUGAGCUAGGUGUUGUUCGUUCGGCUCGUAUGACUCAUGUUUUCAUACCUCUAGGAUACUAGGAGACUAGAGUACACCCUCGUUGGAGCGCACGAGGAGUUUCGUUGUCAUCGGUGGGUUUGGCUUCGUGGAAAUGGGGCGAAAUGGCCCCCAUGCUCUUUCUACUUGUUGUAAAUUAUUUUUAAGUUCAUUUCUAUGCUAAAUGGGAAUUAUAUGAAUUUUAGAGCACUUAAAAUGCAUGCCUUGUGUAUUAUGAAAAUUUCUCUAUAUAGUAGAGCUAUAUGAGUAGAAUGCAUGCAUACGGAAGAAGUGCCUAUUUUGCAAGUAAAAAAAUACAUCUCUUAUGAGGAUUAUGACUUGGAACAUGUACUUUGGAACAUAGUUGCCAUGUUUUGACAUAGAGAGCAAGAGUGUCAUAAAGGGGCAUUUGAAACUAGUAAACUAUGAAACUGCAAUAUAGAGACAUAUUGAUAGGCCACUACAUAUCUGCUAUAUUCCAUGUUAGAGACAUGAUGACAUAGGGAUAGGCCAUUGAGAUACUUGACACAUUCCAUGUUAUUAGACAUGAGGACUUGGUACUUGCGACGGAUCGUUUGACUACUUGCCAUUUUGCUCAUUCGCACAUGCUUGUGAGGGUCGCUCCCUACAAGCCGGCACUCCGGAGAUGGCCAUCGCGAUUCAUAUUCGCCGUGCGGGAUUGGGCGCCGAAGUGGAUUGCCGUGGGCCAGGCUCAUUCCUAGGGUGGGGAUGAUGACUACCACGGGGCCAUUAGGCUCGGCACCGGCCAGACAGCCUACGGGUGGGUCUCAAGGCCAUAGACAGCCUUCGGGUGGGUCUCUUCAGAUUGGGCUUUAUAUAUCCAUUAUGACAUGUGGACAGAUGAUGACUUAGUGUACUACUUGGACAUUGAUUAGAAUAGUAAACAACGGAACUUCACUAUUUCACAUUGUGAACAUCAUGAUAGUUGGAGACAUUUACUUUAUGCAUAGUUGCUUUCAUACUUAUGCUAUUCAUGCUAAGUAGAGAUAUCAUGUCGAAGUAGGUUACAUAUUUACUUACCUGUCGCCUUUCUACUUCUAUAGUCACUGACAUCUUUUGUAGCUUUGGGCCUUGUGGUGCAUGCACUGAAGUCAGUAAUUGCCCACUGGGAACUAUUUUUAAUAGUUCUCAUGCCCUCGUUUUAUGGUUUACUUUUCAGAGCCUUCGGCACCGGCGGAGGCACGGGAUCGCGGCAAGGGUGUCGCGUAGCUAGCUCGCGGAGAGUUCUUUUGCGAUAGGUGGUUACUCCUCUAUUUCAUACUUUGUGAGAGAGGGAGAGAUUUUGUACGUUGUAUAGAGAGACCACCUUGUACUCCUUUUAGCACUUGUUAUGGGAUUCCUGUUGUAUUUACCUUAUGUUUUAUUUAGUGGAUUUACAGUUUUAACUUUAUCCCUUGUUGUAGCUUUUAGACAUUUAUAUUGCUCUGAUACUCCUAGAUGUCUUGUAUUAUUGCUUUUAUCAUUGUUGUUUUUAGACGCCUUAUAUGUUGUAGACAUAUGGCGGGUCUGGACACGCGCCGGGCGGGCCUCCGCUGAGUCCCGGGGCGUGACA
rnacentral:lncRNA from 1 species